rnacentral:rRNA from 1 species
UGCAAGUCGAACGGUAAGGCCCCUUCGGGGGUACACGAGUGGCGAACGGGUGAGUAACACGUGAGCAACCUACCCUUGACUCUGGAAUAACGGUUGGAAACAGCCGCUAAUACCGGAUACGACCUUGAGCGUCAUCGCUCGAGGUGGAAAGCUCCGGCGGUCAGGGAUGGGCUCGCGGCCUAUCAGCUAGUUGGUGAGGUAACGGCUCACCAAGGCUUCGACGGGUAGCCGGCCUGAGAGGGCGACCGGCCACACUGGGACUGAGAUACGGCCCAGACUCCUACGGGAGGCAGCAGUGGGGAAUAUUGCACAAUGGGCGAAAGCCUGAUGCAGCAACGCCGCGUGUGGGAUGACGGCCUUCGGGUUGUAAACCACUUUCAGCGCCGACGAAGCGAAAGUGACGGUAGGCGCAGAAGAAGCACCGGCCAACUACGUGCCAGCAGCCGCGGUGAUACGUAGGGUGCGAGCGUUGUCCGGAAUUAUUGGGCGUAAAGGGCUCGUAGGCGGUCCGUCACGUCGGAAGUGAAAACUCGGGGCUUAACCCCGAGCCUGCUUCCGAUACGGGCAGACUAGAGGAAUGCAGGGGAGAAUGGAAUACCUGGUGGAGCGGUGGAAUGCGCAGAUAUCAGGUGGAACACCAGUGGCGAAGGCGGUUCUCUGGGCAUUUCCUGACGCUGAGGAGCGAAAGCGUGGGGAGCAAACAGGCUUAGAUACCCUGGUAGUCCACGCCGUAAACGGUGGGCACUAGGUGUGGGACUCAUUCCACGAGUUCCGUGCCGAAGCUAACGCAUUAAGUGCCCCGCCUGGGGAGUACGGCCGCAAGGCUAAAACUCAAAGGAAUUGACGGGGGCCCGCACAAGCGGCGGAGCAUGCGGAUUAAUUCGAUGCAACGCGAAGAACCUUACCUAGGUUUGACAUAUACCGGAAAGCUGCAGAGAUGUAGCCCCCGCAAGGUCGGUAUACAGGUGGUGCAUGGCUGUCGUCAGCUCGUGUCGUGAGAUGUUGGGUUAAGUCCCGCAACGAGCGCAACCCUCGUCCUAUGUUGCCAGCACGUAAUGGUGGGG